rnacentral:ncRNA from 2 species
AAAAAACCUCAGGGGUGCCGGAUGAGCCCGGCUGAGAAGGCUUCGCGAUGAAGAAGUCUACCCUUUGAACCUGCUCUGGGUAAUGCCAGCGGAGGGAGAGGAAAUAAUGAUAAG